GAAAUGCGUAGAGAUGUGGAGGAACACCAGUGGUGAAGGCGACUCUCUGGUCUGUAACUGACGCUGAGGAGCGAAAGCGUGGGGAGCGAACAGGAUUAGAUACCCUGGUAGUCCACGCCGUAAACGAUGAGUGCUAAGUGUUAGGGGGUUUCCGCCCCUUAGUGCUGCAGCUAACGCAUUAAGCACUCCGCCUGGGGAGUACGGUCGCAAGACUGAAACUCAAAGGAAUUGACGGGGGCCCGCACAAGCGGUGGAGCAUGUGGUUUAAUUCGAAGCAACGCGAAGAACCUUACCAGGUCUUGACAUCCUCUGACAACCCUAGAGAUAGGGCUUUCCCUUCGGGGACAGAGUGACAGGUGGUGCAUGGUUGUCGUCAGCUCGUGUCGUGAGAUGUUGGGUUAAGUCCCGCAACGAGCGCAACCCUUGAUCUUAGUUGCCAGCAUUCAGUUGGGCACUCUAAGGUGACUGCCGGUGACAAACCGGAGGAAGGUGGGGAUGACGUCAAAUCAUCAUGCCCCUUAUGACCUGGGCUACACACGUGCUACAAUGGACAGAACAAA
rnacentral:rRNA from 1 species